UACGUAGGGUGCGAGCGUUGUCCGGAUUUAUUGGGCGUAAAGAGCUCGUAGGCGGCUUGUCGCGUCGGAUGUGAAAGCCCGGGGCUUAACUCCGGGUCUGCAUUCGAUACGGGCAGGCUAGAGUGUGGUAGGGGAGAUCGGAAUUCCUGGUGUAGCGGUGAAAUGCGCAGAUAUCAGGAGGAACACCGGUGGCGAAGGCGGAUCUCUGGGCCAUUACUGACGCUGAGGAGCGAAGGCGUGGGGAGCGAACAGG
rnacentral:rRNA from 1 species